GACGAACGCUGGCGGCGUGCUUAACACAUGCAAGUCGAACGGUGAAGCGCCUUCCUUUUUGGUGGGUGUGGAUGAGUGGCGAACGGGUGAGUAACACGUGAGUAACCUGCCCCCUUCUUCUGGAUAACCGCAUGAAAGUGUGGCUAAUACGGGAUAUUCUGGGUCUGUCGCAUGAUGGGUCUGGGAAAGAUAUUGUUUCGGUGGGGGAUGGGCUCGCGGCCUAUCAGCUUGUUGGUGGGGUGAUGGCCCACCAAGGCGGUGACGGGUAGCCGGCCUGAGAGGGUGGACGGUCACACUGGGACUGAGACACGGCCCAGACUCCUACGGGAGGCAGCAGUGGGGAAUAUUGCACAAUGGGCGCAAGCCUGAUGCAGCGACGCCGCGUGAGGGAUGGAGGCCUUCGGGUUGUGAACCUCUUUCGCCAGUGAGGCAGGCCUGCCUCGUUUGUGGGUGGGUUGACGGUAGCUGGAUAAGAAGCGCCGGCUAACUACGUG
rnacentral:rRNA from 1 species